UGGGGAAUAUUGCACAAUGGGCGCAAGCCUGAUGCAGCCAUGCCGCGUGUAUGAAGAAGGCCUUCGGGUUGUAAAGUACUUUCAGCGGGGAGGAAGGUGUUGUGGUUAAUAACCACAGCAAUUGACGUUACCCGCAGAAGAAGCACCGGCUAACUCCGUGCCAGCAGCCGCGGUAAUACGGAGGGUGCAAGCGUUAAUCGGAAUUACUGGGCGUAAAGCGCACGCAGGCGGUCUGUCAAGUCGGAUGUGAAAUCCCCGGGCUCAACCUGGGAACUGCCUCCGAAACUGGCAGGCUUGAGUCUUGUAGAGGGGGGUAGAAUUCCAGGUGUAGCGGUGAAAUGCGUAGAGAUCUGGAGGAAUACCGGUGGCGAAGGCGGCCCCCUGGACAAAGACUGACGCUCAGGUGCGAAAGCGUGGGGAGCAAACA
rnacentral:rRNA from 1 species